rnacentral:rRNA from 1 species
AGUGAACGCUGGCGGUAGGCCUAACACAUGCCAGUCGAACGGCAGCACAGUAAGAGCUUGCUCUUACGGGUGGCGAGUGGCGGACGGGUGAGGAAUACAUCGGAAUCUACUUUUUCGUGGGGGAUAACGUAGGGAAACUUACGCUAAUACCGCAUACGACCUACGGGUGAAAGCAGGGGAUCUUCGGACCUUGCGCGAUUGAAUGAGCCGAUGUCGGAUUAGCUAGUUGGCGGGGUAAAGGCCCACCAAGGCGACGAUCCGUAGCUGGUCUGAGAGGAUGAUCAGCCACACUGGAAGUGAGACACGGUCCAGACUCCUACGGGAGGCAGCAGUGGGGAAUAUUAGACAAUGGGCGCAAGCCUGAUCCAGCCAUACCGCGUGGGUGAAGAAGGCCUUCGGGUUGUAAAGCCCUUUUGUUGGGAAAGAAAAUCAGCAGGUUAAUACCCCGCUGUUCUGACGGUACCCAAAGAAUAAGCACCGGCUAACUUCGUG